GUGGGGAAUAUUGGACAAUGGGCGCAAGCCUGAUCCAGCCAUGCCGCGUGAGUGAUGAAGGCCUUAGGGUUGUAAAGCUCUUUCAGUAGGGAAGAUAAUGACGGUACCUACAGAAGAAGCCCCGGCUAACUUCGUGCCAGCAGCCGCGGUAAUACGAAGGGGGCUAGCGUUGUUCGGAUUUACUGGGCGUAAAGCGCACGUAGGCGGAUCGUUAAGUCGGGGGUGAAAUCCUGGAGCUCAACUCCAGAACUGCCUUCGAUACUGGCGAUCUUGAGUCCGGAAGAGGUGAGUGGAACUCCUAGUGUAGAGGUGGAAUUCGUAGAUAUUAGGAAGAACACCAGUGGCGAAGGCGGCUCACUGGUCCGGUACUGACGCUGAGGUGCGAAAGCGUGGGGAGCAAACAGGAUUAGAAACCCGAGUAGUCC
rnacentral:rRNA from 1 species